rnacentral:rRNA from 1 species
GAUCGAUUUGAUCCUGGCUCAGGAUGAACGCUAGCGGCAGGCUUAACACAUGCAAGUCGAGGGGUAUAGUUCUUCGGAACUAGAGACCGGCGCACGGGUGCGUAACGCGUAUGCAAUCUACCUUUUACAGAGGGAUAGCCCAGAGAAAUUUGGGAUUAAUACCUCAUAGUAUGUGAGAAUCGCAUGGUUUUCACAUUAAAGUCACAACGGUAAAAGAUGAGCAUGCGUCCCAUUAGCUUGUUGGUAA